AAUGCAUCGGAACGUGCCCAGUCGUGGGGGAUAACGCAGCGAAAGCUGCGCUAAUACCGCAUACGAUCUAUGGAUGAAAGCGGGGGACCGUAAGGCCUCGCGCGAUUGGAGCGGCCGAUGUCAGAUUAGGUAGUUGGUGGGGUAAAGGCUCACCAAGCCAACGAUCUGUGGCUGGUCUGAGAGGACGACCAGCCACACUGGAACUGAGACACGGUCCAG
rnacentral:rRNA from 1 species